rnacentral:rRNA from 1 species
UACGUAGGCAGCGAGCGUUGUUCGGAGUUACUGGGCGUAAAGGGUGUGUAGGCGGUCCUCUAAGUUUGGUGUGAAAUCUCCCGGCUCAACCGGGAGGGUGCGCCGAAAACUGGGGGGCUAGAGUGCGGGAUGGGAAAGUGGAAUUCCUGGUGUAGCGGUGAAAUGCGUAGAUAUCAGGAGGAACACCUGUGGUGUAGACAGCUUACUGGACCAUUUCUGACGCUGAGACACGAAAGCGUGGGUAGCAAACAGG